UCCAUCGUGAGGUCGAAUCUGAAGGAAGCUGGCGGCAGAUCUCCGGUCUGAGGAGCUUAACGGUUUGAUACAAACUAUUGCGGAAUAGGCCAUGAAC
rfam:Paenibacillaceae bacterium GAS479 genome assembly, chromosome: I